UUUCUGAUUAAUAUGUUUUCCUUCACAAAGAAGGAUCUCUGUUUUCAGAAAUAUGGUAGAUUUGUGUAAUUGGGCAGCGGCCAGACAACCGUAGAGAUGGAAUCCACAGAUGCUGAGUUUUUGUCUCACCAUUCUACUAAUUCCAUCUCACAUUU
rnacentral:snoRNA from 2 species